rnacentral:misc_RNA from 1 species
GAUGAAGAACGUAGUGAAAUGCGAUAAGUAAUGUGAAUUGCAGAAUUCAGUGAAUCAUCGAAUCUUUGAACGCACAUUGCGCCCCCUGGUAUUCCGGGGGGCAUGCCUGUUCGAGCGUCAUUUCACCACUCAAGCCUCGCUUGGUCUUGGGCAACGCGGUCCGCCGCGUGCCUCAAAUCGUCCGGCUGGGUCUUCUGUCCCCUAAGCGUUGUGGAAACUAUUCGCUAAAGGGUGUUCGGGAGGCUACGCCGUAAAACAACCCCAUUUCUAAGGUUGACCUCGGAUCAGGUAGGGAUACCCGCUGAACUUAAGCAUAUCAAUAAGCGGAGA